UCGCUUUUUUCUGUGACCUUGAUGUACCCAAAUAUUUCCAGCAGCUCUUUUUGUGGGAGCGAACAACUGGAAAUCGCACGGACCGGAGACGCCGUCCAUAGGGACGGACACAUUGAGCUUUCUGAUUGCCAUGGAAUGUUAUUGUAUCAUGAGAAUGAAGAGCAGGAAGGCUUCAGGAAAGUUUGGGGGUUUAAUAACGGAAAAGGGUGAGAGAGUUUCAAAAGCCGGGAGACGGCCCGGGGAAAUCUGUUUGAUCAACACCCUAGUGGGAACCUUGGGGUUUAAAUGCCAAGGGUUGCUGCCUUUCUGAGAAAGAGCGGCCGGAGCCAGAAUGCAGUCGGAGCCCGGAGGCUAGAAUUGAAACUUCCGGGGCUUGGAGUUCCAACACCCGGGGCCGAGCCCAACACCGGGGCCGGAGCUCCAAACUUGGGGAGCCCCGGAACACUGUGGGGCCGGAGCCUGAAAUGUGGGCCGGGAGUUCAACACUGUGGGCUAGAGCCUGAAUGUGGCUGGAGCCCGAACGCUGUGGGCCAGAGCCCAAACACCGCGGGCCGGAGCCUUAACACCCGGGGCCGGAGUUCGGCCACCGGGCCGGGGCUUCCGAAACCGUGGGCUAGAGCCUGAAUGUGGCUGGAGCCCGAACACCGCGGGCCGGAGCCAGAACGUGGGCUGGAAGCGCGCUAUCAGGGCUAUAUUUUUCUCUGGGUUUUCAGAACACUAACAUGGCGAUAGUCUUACUGCUUGUUUACAAUCUGUAUGAAACUGUUUACUGUCACACAGGGGAGGGGAGGGCAGGCCAGGGGAGGGGAGGGGGGGAGGGAGAGAACUGGGAACUGAAAAUUUUAAAUUUUAAAAACUGAAGGUUAAACAGCUUUUACCUGUAAUGGAAAAAGGAAGGCGCUCGUGUGAAGCCCUAAGUGCAGAGGUCCCGGGACCUCGGGGGGGGGGGGGUUCCAGAUGAGGAAGGACUUAGGGGUCACUGGCACCGAAAGGUUGGGUUCCCCUGCCCUGCCUCUGUCGGACAGCGCUGGCCCUGGGCCCCGAGUCCCCCCGGUUUCCUCAUUUGUAAAAUGCAGGCACUGGACUGAGUUCCUCUGGGGAGAUUCUAACCCUCUGCUCCCAGCACUCCCAGUGCCCCCAGCUGGUCAGGGUCUGAGGCAGGAUUUGAAUUCAGGUCUCCCUGAUUCCAGGCCUGGGCUCUCACUCCGGCUGCCCCUAAUGCAGGAGACACAAAAAUUAAAACAGAUGCCCCGGGGAGCAUCCAAUGGGGAGGGA
rnacentral:lncRNA from 1 species